UCGCCGGUUGUGAACAAGUCCUUCUGACGUGAUUAUGUAUUCAGUCGAUCUCUAGACAACUUUUUAUGUGAUAUUUAUUGUUUAGGUGAUCAAGAUUUGUGUAUUUUCUUAGCGUGCGUUUCUUUCCUCAAUGCUUUUGCUAUUGUGUAAUUUCGUUUCAUUUUUUUUGCAUUGAUGCCAACGUGGUGGUGAGCUGCAAGGCCGAAUCAUCGUCUUGUGACAGACAAAAUUACGUAAAACCACCACAAUUGAGGGACAUGUUUAAGAAAACUACCUUUUUUUAUUUUAUUUUCAAAUCACCACCGUUUUGGGGGCUGGAGGUACUCCCGUGCACUGAUUUCGCAGUUGAGUGCGUUUUGAUGGUAAAACUGACAAGGAGGCCCACCUGUCGGUGCCACCGUGGCGCCAUGCUGGACACACUGGCCUCCUCGUCCCUUCUCUUCCGCCGUUGGUCACCCUCCUACUCCGCCUCCGUCUGCCCGCGCCGCACCUCAAGCUCGCAACACCGGCUAGCCUCUGCUCGCAACUCCGGCCGGCCAUGUCUAGGGCCCCGCCUAACCUG
rnacentral:lncRNA from 1 species